GACGAACGCUGGCGGCGUGCUUAACACAUGCAAGUCGAACGUGAUUUUUGUGGAAAUUCUUUCGGGAAUGGAAAUGAAAUGAAAGUGGCGAACGGGUGAGUAACACGUGAGCAACCUACCUUACACAGGGGGAUAGCCGUUGGAAACGACGAUUAAUACCGCAUGAGACCACAGAAUCGCAUGAUAUAGGGGUCAAAGAUUUAUCGGUGUAAGAAGGGCUCGCGUCUGAUUAGCUAGUUGGAAGGGUAAAGGCCUACCAAGGCGACGAUCAGUAGCCGGUCUGAGAGGAUGAACGGCCACAUUGGAACUGAGACACGGUCCAAACUCCUACGGGAGGCAGCAGUGGGGAAUAUUGCACAAUGGGGGGAACCCUGAUGCAGCGACGCCGCGUGAGCGAAGAAGGUUUUCGAAUCGUAAAGCUCUGUCCUAUGAGAAGAUAUGACGGUAUCAUAGGAGGAAGCCCCGGCUAAAUACGUG
rnacentral:rRNA from 1 species